rnacentral:rRNA from 1 species
UACGUAGGUCCCGAGCGUUGUCCGGAUUUAUUGGGCGUAAAGCGAGCGCAGGUGGUUUAUUAAGUCUGGUGUAAAAGGCAGUGGCUCAACCAUUGUAUGCAUUGGAAACUGGUAGACUUGAGUGCAGGAGAGGAGAGUGGAAUUCCAUGUGUAGCGGUGAAAUGCGUAGAUAUAUGGAGGAACGCCGGUGGCGAAAGCGGCUCUCUGGCCUGUAACUGACACUGAGGCUCGAAAGCGUGGGGAGCGAACAGG